rnacentral:rRNA from 1 species
ACGGAAGGCAGCAGUGGGGAAUAUUGGGCAAUGGGCGAAAGCCUGACCCAGCAACGCCGCGUGAAGGAGGAAGGUCUUCGGAUUGUAAACUUCUUUUAUGAGGGACGAAGGACGUGACGGUACCUCAUGAAUAAGCCACGGCUAACUACGUGCCAGCAGCCGCGGUAAUACGUAGGGGGCAAGCGUUAUCCGGAUUUACUGGGUGUAAAGGGAGCGCAGACGGUAAGAUAAGUCUGAUGUGAAAACCCGGGGCUCAACCCCGGGAUUGCAUUGGAAACUGUAGAACUAGAGUGCAGGAGAGGUAAGCGGAAUUCCUAGUGUAGCGGUGAAAUGCGUAGAUAUUAGGAGGAACACCAGUGGCGAAGGCGGCUUACUGGACUGUAACUGACGUUGAGGCUCGAAAGCGUGGGGAGCAAACAGGAUUAGAUACCCUGGUA